AGAUACAUUAGGUUGGUGCAAAAGUCAUUGUGGUUUUUGCCAUUACUUUUAGUAGCAAAAACUGCAAUGACUUUCGCACCAACCUAAUAUAU
rnacentral:miRNA from 1 species